rnacentral:rRNA from 1 species
AACGAACGCUGGCGGCAUGCCUAACACAUGCAAGUCGAACGAGACCUUCGGGUCUAGUGGCGCACGGGUGCGUAACGCGUGGGAAUCUGCCCUUGGGUUCGGAAUAACAGUUGGAAACGACUGCUAAUACCGGAUGAUGACGAACGUCCAAAGAUUUAUCGCCCAGGGAUGAGCCCGCGUAGGAUUAGCUAGUUGGUGAG